UACGUAGGGGGCGAGCGUUGUCCGGAGUUACUGGGCGUAAAGGGUGCGUAGGCGGGUCUUUAAGUCAGGGGUGAAAUCCUGGAGCUCAACUCCAGAACUGCCUUUGAUACUGAAGAUCUUGAGUUCGGGAGAGGUGAGUGGAACUGCGAGUGUAGAGGUGAAAUUCGUAGAUAUUCGCAAGAACACCAGUGGCGAAGGCGGCUCACUGGCCCGGUACUGACGCUGAGGUGCGAAAGCGUGGGGAGCAAACAGG
rnacentral:rRNA from 1 species